AAUAGCCUAACGGCUGAACCAGCAAUUUGGAGGAAUGUAUAGCAAUAGCUAAUUGCACCAAGACAUAUUUGAUGCAAUAUCGACUUAGUCGAAUAAAAUUCUAGGUAGUGUUAUGAUAAUGACAUUUUCUGCCUAUUAGUCUUGACCAAAUUACGUGCCAGCAGUCGCGGUAAUACGUAGAAGACUAGUGUUAUUCAUCUUUAAUAGGUUUAAAGGGUACCUAGACGGUAAAUCAAGCCUUAAACGGGACUAAUUUACUAGAGUUACUUAUGAGGGGGCACUAAAGUACUGAUGGUGGAGAGAUGAAAUUCUUAGAUACCUUUUUUCGAAAGAAAAACAAUGGCACAGGUAUAGGCGAAAGCAUCCCCUUAUGUGAUAACUGACGUUGAGGGACGAAGGCUUUGAGUAGCGAACAGGAUUAGAUACCCUGAUAGUUGAAGCAGUAAAUGAUGAAUGUCAUAGAUUAGACGUUAGUUUAUUCUAUAAAUGAAAGUGUAAGCAUUCCACCUCAAGAGUAAUUUGGCAACAUUGGAACUGAAAUCAUUAGACCGUUUCUGAAACCAGUAGUGAAGUAUGUUGUUUAAUUUGAUAAUCCGCAAAAAACCUUACCACAAUUUGAAUAUUUAUAUUUUUUAUUUUCCAUAAACUUUUUUAUAAGAUAAAAAAGGGAGAAAAAAGAUGUUUUUACAAGCGUUGCACGGCUGUCUUCAGUUAAUGUCGUGAGAUUUUGGUUAGC
rnacentral:rRNA from 1 species